GCUGGCCCUUUAAAUCUGGGAGAAACAAACUGCUGCAGCUCUAGGGGGAACGUUUUGCACCUAACAGUUACAAUCUGCACCUCCUGCCCAUCUGGACCACUUCCAGCACAUGGCCAGGCCGGGCCCCGUUGUCCUGGACGCUGCACAGACACGUAGCAAAUGGCAGCCACCGUCUCAGUCAAGGGUAAGUGCUUUGAGAUCCUCAGCUGGAAGGUGCUAUCUAACCCCAGGCCUGUUAUGACUGAAGCCUCCAUGUCUGGGCUAUAGACAGUUCCUACCACUGGGUGGCUUCAAGCUAGUUCAUCUUCCAGUGGAGCUUUUGGGUGGAAGAACAGAGCCCUCCAGCGUUCACUCUCCCUGGGACCCUCAGGCCGGAAGUUCUGGAGAAGGUGCUUUACCUGUGAUAGAACGCAGCUGCAGUGAGAACCAUGGAGAACUCAUUGGUCCACUUGGAGGUGUAGCCCCACUGGCUCUGGUUGGAAUCCCAGAAGUGACUCCGCAUGGGGAACCCAACGAUGCGGUCAGGGAAACUCCUCCACACUACAAAGGCAAAGUCAACCUGGGGAGCCAGACGGAGAGAGGUCACCACCAGGGCAGGGCCGAUUAGCAGCAGAUCCGGAGACAAACGCCUCCAUCGUUUGGAGGAGAACACUGCGGAGAGCAGAACUACCCUGGCUAGGACAGAGCCCAUCUGCAUUUGACCCACUCGAUCUUUACCACCAUCGCUACUCUCUGCGAAGAACGGGCACGUCUUCAAAACAUCCUCAGUACCUCUCCGAGCCUCGACACCUUGUGCCAUGCAACCUGCACCUCCCUACUCCCUUUAAGGACAUGGAUCCUCUCCCCCAAGCCACACCCCAACCAGCUAAGAACAGAAACGCAAUGCCUCAAUCCUCGCCUGCAAGCCAGGCUGCCUGCUGCCAUGUGAUCCUGCCGGAACACACACGUGGCAAGACCUCGAGGAUUCAUAUACGUCACUCCUAGAACAGAGGUGGUCACAAAUAGCAUGCAGGCGUCCUCUCCAUCACAAAUCUGAGCACAAAUACCAAAGUGCUGUUGCCAGGGAGCACCUCCGCCUCCAGAAUUGACUCCAGUUGGAGAGACUAAGGCAGGGAGCACCCUCCCCGCUGCUUGCUACAGCUCCCCCAGAAAGAAACAUCAUCACAAAACACAACACAGUGGUUUCUUCCAAGACUAAACACUUGUCUGCCAAAAAAAAAGAAACUUGUAAGACUACGUGUAACAGCACCAUGGUUGAUCACUGCCAUAGUAAUAUGAAGGGGCAUUAAUGAGAUGGUUAUAUUUAUUUAGGAUGAAAAUGUUUGGCACCAUGCUGGUCUUUUGGACACUGUUGAAUAGGGAGCAGUUGAUAAUGUGCCAUCUAUCAGCCGGGUGUCAUGUAGCGGAGAUGCUUUGGGGCCACAAAGAUCUCUUUUAGAGGCGUGCCAGCCAGCAUCACAUGCAGCUGGUUCACUGGCUGGAGCCGAUGACCUCAGUGUGGUGACAGCACAAAUGCUGUAAAUAAAUACUCAGAAACCAAAGCCAAGAAAGGCAUUACAUUAUUAUGAUUGUAUUACCAUAGCUCCUGGGUGCCCCAGUGAUGAGCCAGAACCCCAGUGCGCUAGGCGCUGGACAAACAGACGGUCCCUGCCUCAAAGCUCACAACCUAAAUCCCAUUCUUACCCCCAGAGGGGGCUGCCUCGGAAAGCUUAAUAUGCCUUAGUGUUUGUCAAACCCUCAGGAUUCCCCCCUCCAUGCACCCACGCGCAAAGCCACUAUCAUCGUCCCCAGUUGACAAAGGGGGAAGCUGAGACAGAGGUAGAACUAAGUGACUUGCCCAAGGCUAAAGAGAGGUGUCAGUGUCUGAGCUGGGAUGAGAACCCAGGUGUUCCUGGGUCUCAGUGUGUUUAGAUCCUCCGGCAAGGCGGCCUGUGAUCAUCCAGGCAUAUGACCACAGCAUGUUGGAGAGGAGAUGGUUGUGUGGAAAAAGCAUUGGUGUGAAACUCAGAGGAGCUUGAUUUAGUGGCUGGCUCCUCCAUUGGCUCGCAGGUGACUGCAGGCAAGUCUGUGCCUCUGUUUUCCAUCUGUGAAAUGGGGCUAAUGAGACUUCCCUACCAACCAGGGGUGUUGUGAGGUUAAAUGCAUCAGUGCUUGUGAAGUGCUCAGACACCCUGGUGUCGGGGGCUGUGAUAAAUGAAGAGGGCUCCCUUUUAUGAACACCCAGCCAGCCAGUUAGCUAUAAAAUCCCUGUUAGUAGCUGUUCUCUAUUUGCUUUACCUGUAAAGGAUUUAAAAAAGUCCAUAGGUAAAAGAAAGGGAGUGGGCACCUGACCAAAAGAGCCAAUGAGAAGGCUAGAACUUUUUAAAAUUGGGGAAAAACUUCCCCUUUGUGUCUGUUGUUGUGUCUGGGAAGAGGGGAACUGUGAGAAGCUUGGGCCAGGUAUGAAAUCAUCAGAAUCAUACCUAGAAACUGCUUAUUUGAAAACUCAGCUAUGUAGGUCGAUCAGGAAAUGUCUAGGAAGACGCAAUCAGGUUUAUUUCUUAUGGCUAGUGGACUCCUCUGUGCUAACCCCAGAUGCUUUUGUUUGCUUGUAACCUUCAAGCUGAACCCCCAAGAAAGCUAGUUUCAGUGCUUAAUUUUUGGAAAUUGCUCCUUUAAAAUCUAGCAAUAGCCUGAGUUUUCAAAUGUAUUUCUUUCUUUUUGUUU